GCCUGGUUGGCUCAGUCGGUUGGGCGUCUGACUUCAGGUCAGGUCAUGAUCUCAUGGUUCAUGGGUUCAGGCCCCGCAUUGGGCU
rnacentral:tRNA from 1 species